rnacentral:rRNA from 1 species
AGUGAACGCUGGCGGUAGGCCUAACACAUGCAAGUCGAACGGCAGCACAGUAAGAGCUUGCUCUUACGGGUGGCGAGUGGCGGACGGGUGAGGAAUACAUCGGAAUCUACUUUUUCGUGGGGGAUAACGUAGGGAAACUUACGCUAAUACCGCAUACGACCUACGGGUGAAAGCAGGGGAUCUUCGGACCUUGCGCGAUUGAAUGAGCCGAUGUCGGAUUAGCUAGUUGGCGGGGUAAAGGCCCACCAAGGCGACGAUCCGUAGCUGGUCUGAGAGGAUGAUCAGCCACACUGGAACUGAGACACGGUCCAGACUCCUACGGGAGGCAGCAGUGGGGAAUAUUGGACAAUGGGCGCAAGCCUGAUCCAGCCAUACCGCGUGGGUGAAGAAGGCCUUCGGGUUGUAAAGCCCUUUUGUUGGGAAAGAAAAGCAGCAGGUUAAUACCCCGCUGUUCUGACGGUACCCAAAGAAUAAGCACCGGCUAAC